CAGCAGCCGCGGUAAUACGUACUGUGCGAACGUUAUUCGGAAUCACUGGGCUUAAAGGGUGCGUAGGCGGUUUAGUAAGUAGGGUGUGAAAUGCCAGGGCUCAACCUGGGCACGGCGCUCUAAACUGCUAAACUUGAGUGAGAUAGGGGUGUACGGAACUUCCGGUGGAGCGGUGAAAUGCGUUGAUAUCGGAAGGAACACCGGUGGCGAAAGCGGUACACUGGGCUCUUACUGACGCUGAGGCACGAAAGCUAGGGUAGCGAACGGGAUUAGAUACCCCGGUAGUCCUAGCCGUAAACGAUGAGUACUAGUUGGGAGGAGCUUCGGCUCUCCGGACGUAGCCGAAAGCAUUAGUUCUCCGCCUGGGGGAGUAUGUCGCCAGGCUUGAAACUCAAAAGAAUUGACGGGGGCUCACACAAGC
rnacentral:rRNA from 1 species